rnacentral:rRNA from 1 species
AGUGAACGCUGGCGGCAGGCCUAACACAUGCAAGUCGAACGGCAGCACAGAGGAGCUUGCUCCUUGGGUGGCGAGUGGCGGACGGGUGAGGAAUGCGUCGGAAUCUGCCUUUUUGUGGGGGAUAACGUAGGGAAACUUACGCUAAUACCGCAUACGACCUACGGGUGAAAGUGGGGACCGCAAGGCCUCACGGCGAAAGAAGAGCCGACGCCGGAAUAGCCAGGUGGCGGGGUAAAGGCCCACCAAGGCGACGAUCCGUAGCUGGUUUGAGAGGAUGCUCAGGCACACUGGGACUGAGAAACGGCCCAGACUCCUGAGGGAGGCAGCAGGGGGGAAUAUUGGACAAUGGGCGCAAGCCUGAUCCAGCCAUGCCGCGUGUGUGAAGAAGGCCUUCGGGUUGUAAAGCACUUUUGUCCGGAAAGAAAUCCUUUCGAUUAAUACUCGGGAGGGAUGACGGUACCGGAAGAAUAAGCACCGGCUAACUUCGUGCCAGCAGCCGCCGUAACAC